rnacentral:rRNA from 1 species
UUCCCCUAGUAACUGCGAGUGAAGCGGGAAAAGCUCAAAUUUAAAAUCUGGCGGUCUUUGGCCGUCCGAGUUGUAAUCUAGAGAAGUGUUAUCCGCGCUGGACCGUGUACAAGUCUCCUGGAAUGGAGCGUCAUAGAGGGUGAGAAUCCCGUCUUUGACACGGACUGCCAGGGCUUUGUGAUGCGCUCUCAAAGAGUCGAGUUGUUUGGGAAUGCAGCUCAAAAUGGGUGGUAAAUUCCAUCUAAAGCUAAAUAUUGGCGAGAGACCGAUAGCGAACAAGUACCGUGAGGGAAAGAUGAAAAGAACUUUGGAAAGAGAGUUAAACAGUACGUGAAAUUGCUGAAAGGGAAACGCUUGAAGUCAGUCGCGUUGGCCGGGAAUCAACCUUGCUUUUGCUGGGCGUACUUUCCGGUUGACGGGUCAACAUCAAUUUUGACCGUUGGAUAAAGGCUGAGGGAAUGUGGCUUCUUCGGGAGUGUUAUAGCCCUUGGUCGCAUACAACGGUUGGGAUUGAGGAACUCAGCACGCCGCAAGGCCGGGUACUUGUACCACGUUCGUGCUUAGGAUGUUGGCAUAAUGGCUUUAAUCGACCCGUCUUGAAACACGGACCAAGGAGUCUAACAUGCCUGCGAGUGUUUGGGUGGAAAACCCGAGCGCGUAAUGAAAGUGAAAGUUGAGAUCCCUGUCGUGGGGAGCAUCGACGCCCGGACCAGAACUUUUGGGACGGAUCCGCGGUAGAGCAUGUAUGUUGGGACCCGAAAGAUGGUGAACUAUGCCUGAAUAGGGUGAAGCCAGAGGAAACUCUGGUGGAGGCUCGUAGCGAUUCUGACGUGCAAAUCGAUCGUCAAAUUUGGGUAUAGGGGCGAAAG